rnacentral:rRNA from 1 species
GCUGAGACACGAUGCGGAUGAAAAGUGGGUGAUCCUAUGCUGCCAAGAAAAGCAUCGACGCGAGGUUCUAGCCGCCCGUACCCCAAACCGACUCAGGUGGUCAGGUAGAGAAUACCGAGGAGAUCGAGAGAAUCGUGGUUAAGGAACUCGGCAAAAUGCCCCCGUAACUUCGGGAGAAGGGGGGCCAUCCACUUAUACCCACUUGCUGGGAAAAGGGUGUGGUGGCCGCAGAGACUAGUGGGUAGCGACUGUUUACUAAAAACACAGGUCCGUGCCAAGUCGCAAGACGAUGUAUACGGACUGACGCCUGCCCGGUGCUGGAAGGUUAAGAGGACGGGUUAGCCGUAAGGCGAAGCUCAGAAUUUAAGCCCCAGUAAACGGCGGUGGUAACUAUAACCAUCCUAAGGUAGCGAAAUUCCUUGUCGGGUAAGUUCCGACCUGCACGAAUGGCGUAACGACUUCCCAACUGUCUCAACCGCGAACUCGGCGAAAUUGCAUUACGAGUAAAGAUGCUCGUUACGCGCAGCAGGACGGAAAGACCCCGUGACCUUUACUACAGCUUGGUAUUGGUGUUCGGUGUGGCUUGUGUAGGAUAGGUGGGAGACUAUGAAACCAUGACGCCAGUUAUGGUGGAGUCGUUGUUGAAAUACCACUCUGGUCACUCUGGAUGUCUAACUUCGAACCGUGAUCCGGUUCAGGGACAGUGCCUGGUGGGUAGUUUAACUGGGGCGGUUGCCUCCCAAAAAGUAACGGAGGCGCCCAAAGGUUCCCUCAACCUGGUUGGCAAUCAGGUGGCGAGUGUAAGUGCACAAGGGAGCUUGACUGUGAGACUGACAGGUCGAGCAGGGACGAAAGUCGGGACUAGUGAUCCGGCAGUGGCUUGUGGAAGCGCUGUCGCUCAACGGAUAAAAGGUACCUCGGGGAUAACAGGCUGAUCUUGCCCAAGAGUCCAUAUCGACGGCAUGGUUUGGCACCUCGAUGUCGGCUCGUCGCAUCCUGGGGCUGGAGUAGGUCCCAAGGGUUGGGCUGUUCGCCCAUUAAAGCGGUACGCGAGCUGGGUUUAGAACGUCGUGAGACAGUUCGGUCCCUAUCCGCUGCGCGCGUAGGAAGUUUGAGAGGAUCUGACCCUAGUACGAGAGGACCGGGUUGGACGAACCUCUGGUGUGCCAGUUGUACUGCCAAGUGCACCGCUGGUUAGCUACGUUCGGGAUGGAUAACCGCUGAAAGCAUCUAAGCGGGAAGCCGGCCUCAAGAUGAGACUUCCAUACCUUCGGGUGAGAGGCUCCCAGCCAGACUACUGGGUUGAUAGGCCAGAUGUGGAAGCACGGCAACGUGUGCAGCUGACUGGUACUAAUAAGCCGAUGACUUGAUA